rnacentral:rRNA from 1 species
UACGUAGGGGGCAAGCGUUGUCCGGAUUUAUUGGGCGUAAAGAGCGUGUAGGCGGUUCGGUAGGCCCGUUGUGAAAACUCGAGGCUCAACCUCGAGACGCCGAUGGAAACCCCCGAACUAGAGUCCGGAAGAGGAGAAUGGAAUUCCUGGUGUAGCGGUGAAAUGCGCAGAUAUCAGGAAGAACACCCGUGGCUAAGGCGGUUCUCUAGUACGGUACUGACGCUGAGACGCGAAAGCGUGGGGAGCGAACAGG